rnacentral:lncRNA from 1 species
UUUGGAUAACAUUUCUAUUAAUACAGAGAGAAAUAAACCAUUAAAUAUACCAUUUUGAUAUUCAGUUAAUAAGCAUAUAUAUAUAUUUUUAGUCAGUAGCUCACUUGGUUUUGUUCAUACAGAAUAUUAAGUUGGUUUAAGGGAGCAAACCUUUAUCCACAGCCAAUUGGUAGGAACCAGCUUAUAUCAACAUUCUCCAGACCACCGUACUGUCCUCUUGUCAUGGAUCACAUAUAACCAUGAUGUGCAUCAGGUAGAACAAAUAAUUGCACAGCCAUUGCUCUCCUGUGACUUUUAGCACCUUCAUGACUACAAGGCCCUCUUAUACAUACCACAUGAUACUGCUUUACUCAUCUAGAGUAGACCAGCACACCAAAAACACUUUCUCACAUUUCUCAAGCUUACAUUUUUCCUGUACCUCACUGAUUACAAUGAGGUCUUCGGUCUUUUGUCAGUACUUCUUCAAAAAGUCUUAUCCUUUUGAGACCAUCUGGGCCUUCCAUGUCAUUCUCCUCAUCUCGGUUCUCACAGGUUUUCUAGUAACAAAAAUAUGAUUCACCUCUCUAAACUUUAGAUAUCCAAAAGUUCAGAUGUCUCAACUGGUCGCCCUUGAGUCACUCCAUGCUUGAAGAAUGGGGUCAAUUAACUUUUAGAUGUAGGGAUGGAUACUAGUCACAAGGCCUGUAUUUGACCACAUCCAGCCCUUCACCCUUUUUGUGCUCCAUGUUUGUAAUUCUUGUUGUACAAUGAGGCUAUAAAUCCACUAUAGGGAGAGUUAGGUGCCAAAACAUUUACUUCAGUUAGCUGUAUUAUGUUUUGUGAUGCACUUCUUUUGUACAAAUGGCUCUACUUCCAUUGUCUUGCUUUACUCCAAGAUCAGAUUACAAAUUCUUGUCUAAUUUGCUGUCCUCUCUGUUCCCCAAGGUCUCUUGUAGCUUUACUGCACUUUCCAUAUCACAAAAUAUAUGUUUUUCAGUUUAUUUUCUCCUGCGUACUUUAAUUGUCAUUUCUGCCAGAUGAAACUCUUUACUGUAUUGGAG